rfam:Myotis davidii contig225612, whole genome shotgun sequence.
GGCAGUUCUCAGGUGACGGACCCAGGAAUCGGGCUACCUCCUCUCUGGUUCUGGGUGCAUCACCCGAGAACCGCA